ACAUGCACCAAGACAUGCAGAUGUAAGGAAAGUUCUUAAAUUACCAACCCCAGUCAAGAGGAAGAGGUGGUAACAGUUCUGAUUUGCAGCCUGGCUGUGACCUGCAGUAGCUUGGCUAUUCCUCCCUUGUUCUGUGUUCCUCCUGUUCUGGCCAACUUACUUAGCUUAGAGUUCUCCAAAUAGUCCUCCCUCCAAUCUGCUCCCCAUCUGCUGCUGGGAGUCACUCUGCCACCUGUAGAGGAUGUCUUUGAACAUGGGGUUGAUGUUUGGACAUGGCUGCGAAUACGAAAGACACAAGGGAUUCUGCAGUGAGACGGAAAGUAAUGAGCACUGCACACAUGCCGACAGCGCAGAUUGAAGAUGCUCCCUAAUGUCUAUGUGCAUCCAUCCCAGCUGUACAAAUGAUGCUUUUACCCAGCAAGGUGGGCUCCAGGCACUCUGCACCUCCACUUGCUUUGUAUUCUGACUACAUUGGAAGGUGAGAAGACAUCAAAUUUGCCUUAUGCAACGCCACAUUUGACUGAAAUGGACAGUUUGACAAAGGAUCAGCCACUUGCAUGGAGAUACCAUAGGCCACUGGAAGGAGCUGUCCGAUGAGGACCAGCCCUCGGUCUCCCAGAAUGCCACUCUUCCCAUAGAAGCACACCACCGUCUACUGGAAGAUCAUCAGUUGAGCUUGGCCUAUUUUUCAUUUUGUCUCAUAAAAUCAGCUUUCCAACCCUUCACUCAUUUUUACUCUCUUUCAGCUCAUCCCUGAGAGUUCAACAUGGCUAAGAUAAUGUAACUUUUCAAUAAAACAUAAAAUAAUCAGUUCAUUUAUUCAUCAAAAAUCUCAGCCUUCCAGCUUUACGAUUUUUCUGUAUCUCCCAGUAAAAAUAAUUCUUUGCUGCUA
rnacentral:lncRNA from 1 species